UGCCAAUAACGUCACGAGAUGCUGAUCUUCAGCAUCACCUGCGAAUCUCCACAGGUCCACCUUAGCCCAACUACAUGGUAAGGAAGGUAAAGAUAAUAUAUAUUAGAACAUCAGAAUCUGGAUUUAGCCCAUCAGUUCCCACAAGGGCCGAAUCGAA